UGGAAUCCUUUGGUGAAGACAAAUUUAGCACAUGGAAUUGGAAGAGGGAAUGUGAUGGCCUCUUUGCAUUUUCUGCAUCUGGUAACUGGAAGACCAGGUCUGAAUGCCUCAGGUGAAAGGCCAGAUCAAAGCAAGACAGAAUCAAGCCUCCAAGCACUGGCUAUCAGGAGGGUAUGGAGAACUGAGGGGAUCAUGCUGGAGAACUGGGGCAACAUGGAACCACAGAGUCUGGAGGAGGUGCUUUAGAGGUCAUUUAAUCCAAAUGGUGACUGAAUAGUAAUCCCUUCCACGGUUAUCUUAACAAAUGAUGUUUCAACCUCCACUUGGAGGUUGAACGGUACAGGGAAAUCUACUGUCUCCUGAGACAGCC
rnacentral:lncRNA from 1 species